rnacentral:rRNA from 1 species
AGACGAACUGCCGUUGACAAAACGGGAGGAAAGUGGGGAUGACGUCAAAUCAUCAUGCCCCUUAUGUUCUGGGCUACACACGUGCUACAAUGGCCGGUACAGACGGACGCAAAGCCGCGAGGUGGAGCAAAUCCUAAAAAGCCGGUCUCAGUUCGGAUUGCAGGCUGCAAUUCGCCUGCAUGAAGUCGGAAUCGCUAGUAAUCGCAGGUCAGCAUACUGCGGUCGAAUACGUUCCCGGGCCUU